UACGUAGGGUGCGAGCGUUAAUCGGAAUUACUGGGCGUAAAGCGUGCGCAGGCGGUGAGCUGUGUCCGAUGUGAAAGCCCCGGGCUUAACCUGGGAAUGGCAUUGGAAACUGGCUCGCUGGAGUGUGGCAGAGGGGGGUGGAAUUCCGCGUGUAGCAGUGAAAUGCGUAGAGAUGCGGAGGAACACCGAUGGCGAAGGCAGCCCCCUGGGUCAAAACUGACGCUCAUGCACGACAGCGUGGGGAUCAAACAGG
rnacentral:rRNA from 1 species